UACGUAGGUGGCAAGCGUUGUCCGGAUUUAUUGGGUUUAAAGGGUGCGUAGGCGGCUUUGUAAGUCAGUGGUGAAAUAUGGCAGCUCAACUGUCAGGGUGCCAUUGAUACUGCAGAGCUUGAGUACAGAUGAGGUAGGCGGAAUUGACGGUGUAGCGGUGAAAUGCAUAGAUAUCGUCCAGAACACCGAUAGUGAAGACAGCUUACCAGAGUGCAACUGACGCUGAGGCACGAAAGCGUGGGGAGCGAACGGG
rnacentral:rRNA from 1 species